GAUCAUGGCUCAGGAUGAACGCUAGCGACGGGCCUAACACAUGCAAGUCGAGGGGCAGCGGAGAGGUAGCAAUACCUUUGCCGGCGACCGGCGCACGGGUGAGUAACACGUAUGCAAUCCACCUGUAACAGGGGGAUAACCCGGAGAAAUCCGGACUAAUACCCCAUAAUAUGGGCGUUCCGCAUGGAGAGCUCAUUAAAGAGAGCAAUUUUGGUUACAGACGAGCAUGCGCUCCA
rnacentral:rRNA from 1 species